ACUGCUGAGGAGUCCCAUAAUAGGACGAAACGCGCGUCCUGGAU
rnacentral:hammerhead_ribozyme from 1 species